rnacentral:sRNA from 1 species
AUUUAUCUAUCUGAUUAAGUAGCAGCGACUAGGAGGCCCCACGAUAUAUCUACAUACAUACAAAUGUAUAAUAGCCUAGUUCUAUCCGAGAGAUAUACAAAUAUGCCGGAGAGCACGGGUACAGUCGACCGGUCGGUCAGGAGGUAUGGAUCUGAAUUGGGGUGCGGGGUGAGUCAGAGCCCCAAGGUUAAAUGGAGCCCCCCUACUUCCCACAAAAUGCGGGUGAAUCGCUAAACAAAUAAGGCGCAAAUAACUAUAAGCAAAAAUGCCGGCACACGUAGCAUUUGCAUAUACCAAGUCGCAAUGGGCAAACAAAAUAAACGAAGAGAGCUGCGGCUAUAAAUAUCCAUAAAAAUUAAUAUACAAAGUCUAAGAGAAAUUCUUUUUUUUUUUUUGUUGCGCUAAUUCAGUCAAAAACAUCACCACAUUUUUUAGGCUGCACGUGUCUGUGUUUUUUUUUGAACAAAUGUACCAAAACAAACGAAUGAAAUGGCUAUUAAUAUUGGCGAUAAAUGCCAUUAAUAAGUCUAUAGUUUGUUUUAAUAUAAGCAGGGGCAUCGAGGUAAAGCGGGGUAGAAAUCAACGUAAAGAGUUAUCUUUAUUAUUAAUACAUAUGUAUGUAAACGAACAGCAGAGGUCAUCUCAAUAACUACAAACGAAUACUAAUAAAAAUACCAUUUAUCGACAAUAAACUGGACUUUUUAUUGCUGACGUAGGUUUCUUUGCCUUUCGCAACUUUGAUUGACAAUCUAUCCAUAUUUUCCAGUCUAAACAAAUAACAAAUAUCUUUAGCUCAAUUAACAAGGUAAAAAAAUUGUAUAAACAAGAUCUUUGAAACCUCAGUUAUUUCACAGGUGGUUUCCAUAGAAAAUGUAUACAGAUUUAGAAACAAAAAGAAUCUCAGGUUAAUAUGAAGAUAAAUAGUAUCUUAAUACACACAGGUUUUAUUUUUGUGCCCUUAGCUGUGUGAACACAUUUUUGCCAGAAAAACGUGUACGGUACCGUUGCCAUAUUUUGGUGUAGCAACUUACGGUAAUCGCUUUGUACUUUGGCUAGUCUUUCAUCAUUGACCACGUGUCUUCGGCGUGACGAACGCGAUAAGCAAAGAACCACCCUAAUUAAUGGGUAAACGAUGUUUUUGAGAGGAAAACCAUGUGUAAAGCUUUUCAACUGCCUCCUGAAACUGCAAUGCAGCUCAGUUUAAGUAGAAAAAAGCACAGCAGAUCUAGAUCACUAUCCAGGUUAGAUCUAGAUAAAUAAAAAGUGGGCGAUAAGAUAACGUAAUUGGUGCGCUUGUGUAAUCAACAUCAAAACUUGUCGUUCUGCUUGGACAAAUAUUGGUGGAUCAGGUACAAUCUUUCGACAGUGGAAAAACAAUCGUAAAAGACGAAGUGUACUAAGCAAAUAGCAAGCAGGAUUUUUAGACAAAAGCAAGAUGUCAUAAAGCAAACACGGGCACUGGAAAUUAUUAUACAUAUGCUAUAACCAGAACAAUGGCGAGAUAAGGGAUAGGAUCUUGUGAGGUUCCCCAAGAUAAGAUAAACGCGAAUGAGGGGUAGAAACAGUGGAAGGAGGCACCAAAGAAGCUGCUAGAAUAGUGCCGAUGACCCAAUAUCGCUCUUCUACAUACAUGAGCACAUAUGUAUGUAUAUGCAGUACAUAUAUCCAUCCCUCUUUCUCCUAUCUCACUUGCCGCACAAAAACAACGCGAAACUGCAAUGGCGAGUGGAAUUUUCCCUUGUUUACAGCGAAUAUGCUUGUGAGCGUGCGUUUGUAUUUGUUGUUGUAUGACAUAAUAAAAGCCGCCCAGGAUGCAAGCCCCCCCAAAGAAUAAAGAAGAACUUGAACAAAAUGCUGGUAAAUCGCGAAGAACUAAAAAGUAACGGAAUAAAUACCAGUUUUUAACGAGUACCUUCCCAAUUGGAUUGCUAAAGCAAUAUUUCAAAAUGCCAUUUCCGAUGGAAAAGAAACAGGUAAACAAAGAAUAGAGAAAACACAUACGCACACAGAUGUUAUGGGUUCUCCAAUUGGAAGGAGGUCCAACUGUAAAUAAAUUAUGGGACACGGCGUUGCCGGAUGCGCAAACAUGAUGUGUGUUUGCGCUAAUUAAGUAAUAAACAUUGCCUGCAAACAGAA